rnacentral:rRNA from 1 species
AUGAGUGUUUUGAGCUGGAACUGCCGGGGGCUUGGGAACCCCGAGGCAGUUCGAGAGCUUCGCAACAUUGUGAAGCAAGAAGGACCCACUCUACUCUUUGUAAUGGAAACAAAAAUCAGAGCGAAACGAGUAGAGGAUUUAAAGCACUCUCUAGGUUUUGGAGGAUGUUUUGCUGUGGACAGUGCUGGCCUUAGUGGCGGUAUUGGUCUUUUCUGGUCUCGGGAUGUU